rnacentral:rRNA from 1 species
CUGGCGGCGUGCCUAACACAUGCAAGUCGAGCGGAUAAUAUUGAAGAGUAAUCAGAUAUGUAUCUUAGCGGCGGACGGGUGAGUAACGCGUGGGCAACCUGCCUCAAACAGGGGGAUAACACAGGGAAACUUGUGCUAAUACCGCAUAAAAUCAUAGGAGGACAUCCUCUAAUGAUCAAAGGAGAAAUCCGGUGAAGGAUGGGCCCGCGUCUGAUUAGCUAGUUGGUGAGGUAAUGGCUCACAAAGGCGACGAUCAGUAGCCGACCUGAGAGGGUGAUCGGCCACACUGGAACUGAGACACGGUCCAGACUCCUACGGGAGGCAGCAGUGGGGAAUAUUGCGCAAUGGGGGAAACCCUGACGCAGCAACGCCGCGUGGAGGAAGAAGGUCUUCGGAUUGUAAACUCCUGUCUUUGGGGACGAAAAAAAUGACGGUACCCAAGGAGGAAGCCACGGCUAACUACGUGCCAGCAGCCGCGGUAAUACGUAGGUGGCAAGCGUUGUCCGGAAUUAUUGGGCGUAAAGGGCGCGUAGGCGGUACCUUAAGUCAGAUGUGAAAACCCGGGGCUUAACUUCGGAGGUGCAUUUGAAACUGGGGAACUAGAGUGCAGGAGAGGAAAGUGGAAUUCCUAGUGUAGCGGUGAAAUGCGUAGAUAUUAGGAGGAACACCAGUGGCGAAGGCGACUUUCUGGACUGUAACUGACGCUGAGGCGCGAAAGCGUGGGGAGCAAACAGGAUUAGAUACC